GGUUGAUGGAUCUGCUUGAGAACGUCACCACGCAAGCUUUACCGUAAAUGGAUAAGGGAAGUUUCAGACACAUUGGGACUUGAGGAAAUAUCAUUGGAAUUUUCCCAUGGAGGAUUUUCACUGAACAAUGUUGAUAUUAAGACUAUACGAACAGUCUCCAAACUUGGUUAAAAUGUGGAGAUUCAGAACAGAUUGACUCGACAGUGUUCUCCGUUAUGUAAAAAGGAUUAAACCGCUCGGUCCAGGGUGCUAGCCAACGCAAAAGGAUUUUUUUUAUUUUUUUGUGGACUGGAAUUAUUUCAUUGAUGACUGAAAAAUACUUUUUUGUUUGUUUUAAACAGUUUUUCUUUUUUGUACUGGAGAUAAAGAACCAAUAAGCUCCAUCAGCUCUACCGCCACCUGCUGACUGCAUGGCUGAAAUUCACCUUUGGCUUGAAGUAGUUACUGCGCUACAAGACCGUCUGUUUGAUCUUUGCUGUUCCAGAUCUUCAGAUGAAGACGGAGGCUCUCCAGUGCUUCGUGUUGCAUCUCCAUCUCCCCUUAAUUCCUGUCCUCAUCCUUCAGAGAAAGAUCCCAAGGUCAGGAAUUUCAAACCGCACAUGAAAUGAUGACUGCAUGACAAGAACUAAAAGCCCAGAAGGAAGUGGAGGGCUGCAGCUUCUUUGCACCGUAUUCGGACUACUCAGAGGAACAUGUUUCCUUGCUAGGAGGAGGGAGUGAACUGUGAAUGCUGGAACGGAGAACUAUGAGAUCUCAAACAUGCACAGAAUAGUUCUGCUCGAGUGCAGCCAGGGUUAAAACACCGUGCACUCAUUAUUAAUAACUGAAAUACACCUGCAUACACACACACAUACAAAAAAUUAAUUGUUGAAUACACACACACUGACAUGGCUUAACUACACUUCAUCUCUUGCUGCCAUGUAAAUAAUGUAUAUAUCCCUAACACUUUUUCCUUUCUCUGUUGGGUUUCAGGUUUGAUUUUCUUUUUCCUUUUCUUUCUUCUCUUUUAAUGACAUGCCUUAACAGUUCAGUUUUGCCUAUUAAGGCACACUUAAGAUGUGUAAUACAAAAAAAAAGUGUUAACAGUCAGCGAGACUAGCUCUGUGAUUGUAGCGAGUGAUUUUAUUUAAUAAACCCUUGAAACAUUGUUUAUGAACCUGCAAAAUGAUUUAUAUCAAACGAUCCCCACAAAAGACAUGCAAUUACUUCUUGGUUUUAACUGGGCAAGUAUUUCUGAUGAUACAACCUAAUGUUAAAAUGGUUUUUGCUUUGCAGUUUCAAUAUUAGAGGCAAAAACUGUUUCCAGGUCAGAAUGAUCAAAUGUUUAAAUUUUUGAUCUCAAAAUAGACGUGGCUGGGCAGAAGUACUUUUACUAACACAUGCUUGAGUGUCAGCUUCAGCUGUUACUGAGCUAAAGAUCAGAAAGGAUGGGAUUUGUUGGUGAAGGUGAUGCACGCCAUUAUCUGAAAACCUGAUCUAACUAAACCGUGAACUAAACAGUAAGUGGGAGCAGUUAAGACACACUGCAGCCAGCUGAGACGAUGAUCAGCUA